rnacentral:rRNA from 1 species
GAUCAUGGCUCAGGAUGAACGCUGGCGGCGUGCCUAACACAUGCAAGUCGAACGAUGAAACCGCCCUCGGGCGGACAUGAAGUGGCGAACGGGUGAGUAACACGUGACCAACCUGCCCCUUGCUCCGGGACAGCCUUGGGAAACCGAGGCUAAUACCGGAUACUCCUCGCCCCCCUCCUGGGGGGCCCGGAAGGACCCACGACGGCGAAGGGAGUGGGGUCGGCGGCCCGACUUAGGUAGUAGGCGGGGUAACGGGCCCGACCUACGCCCGCCGAUGGGUAGG